UACCAGCACCCCGAGUGGUCGGGACGAUUAUUGGGCCUAAAGCAUCCGUAGCCGGCCUUACAAGUCCUCCGUUAAAUCCAGCUGCUUAACAGAUGGGCUGCGGAGGAUACUAUAAGACUAGGAGGCAGGAGAGGCAAGCGGUACUCAGUGGGUAGGGGUAAAAAUCCGUUGAUCCAUUGAAGACCACCAGUGGCGAAGGCGGCUUGCCAGAAUGCGCUCGACGGUGAGGGAUGAAAGCUGGGGGAGCAAACCGG
rnacentral:rRNA from 1 species